CUUUAUGAUGAAUAAGGGCCAAAGGCCUGAUUCAAACCCAGCUCUUCGAAUGCCUCAAUAUACAACGCAGAGGACAUACUGAGAUAAGAAACACAAUCUGAUUGC
rnacentral:snoRNA from 1 species